rnacentral:rRNA from 1 species
UACGAAGGGUGCAAGCGUUACUCGGAGUUACUGGGCGUAAAGCGUGCGUAGGUGGUGAGUUAAGUCUGUCGUGAAAGCCCCGGGCUCAACCUGGGAAUGGCGAUGGAUACUGGCUCGCUAGAGUGCGGUAGAGGAGAGUGGAAUUCCCGGUGUAGCAGUGAAAUGCGUAGAGAUCGGGAGGAACAUCAGUUGCGAAGGCGGCUCUCUGGACCAGCACUGACACUGAGGCACGAAAGCGUGGGGAGCAAACAGG